AGCCUCCACCCUGAAAUUGUAUAAGUGUUUAAUGAGUAACUCUGGAACCUGCAGCGACACUGUAGAAUGUCCUCAACAGGAUCAACAGUGUGGUGCGAUGAGAGUCGUGUCAUAUGCAGGAGGUUCAAAACUCGCUGAUCUUACCUCAAAAGGCUGUGUGCUGCCUGCAGAGUGUGUCAAAGGAUCAGUGAACUUUGGAAUUGCAAAGACUGAAUUUACCAGCAGGUGCUGCACCACCGAUCUCUGCAACACUCAAGCUGCCCCGGAUGUCGGCCAAUCCUCCCAAAAUGGAAAGAAAUGCUUCUACUGUGAUGGACAAUCGUGCACUGCAACUCUGAACUGUGUGGGGACGAGGACCACUGCAUCUCAGCAACAGUGGAUACAGGAGGGAAAGGCCGUGACAGUGAAGGGCUGUGCUUCCAAGACGUAUGUUCAAGUGUCCAAUAUGCUCAGACAAUGGGAGGCCUUGGAAAGGACAUCAGCUGCUGCCAGGGCGACUUCUGCAACAGUGCCACCAGUACAACUGCUGGCAUUCUGCUGUUGGUGGCACCGGUGGUCUCUGUGGUCUUGUUUUCUUAGCUUUGCUUCUCAUCUGUGCACAACCUCAUAGUGCUUAAACCGG